rnacentral:rRNA from 1 species
UCAACCGAGAUUCCCCCAGUAGCGGCGAGCGAACGGGGAGGAGCCCAGAGCCUGAAUCAGCAUGUGUGUUAGUGGAAGCGUCUGGAAAGGCGCGCGAUACAGGGUGACAGCCCCGUACACAAAAGCGCAUGUGCUGUGAGCUCGAUGAGUAGGGCGGGACACGUGGUAUCCUGUCUGAAUAUGGGGGGACCAUCCUCCAAGGCUAAAUACUCCUGACUGACCGAUAGUGAACCAGUACCGUGAGGGAAAGGCGAAAAGAACCCCGGCGAGGGGAGUGAAAAAGAACCUGAAACCGUGUACGUACAAGCAGUGGGAGCACCCUUUGGGGUGUGACUGCGUACCUUUUGUAUAAUGGGUCAGCGACUUAUAUUCUGUAGCAAGGUUAACCGUAUAGGGGAGCCGGAGGGAAACCGAGUCUUAACCGGGCGUUAAGUUGCAGGGUAUAGACCCGAAACCCGGUGAUCUAGCCAUGGGCAGGUUGAAGGUUGGGUAACACUAACUGGAGGACCGAACCGACUAAUGUUGAAAAAUUAGCGGAUGACCUGUGGCUGGGGGUGAAAGGCCAAUCAAACCGGGAGAUAGCUGGUUCUCCCCGAAAGCUAUUUAGGUAGCGCCUCGUGAAUUCAUCUCCGGGGGUAGAGCACUGUUUCGGCUAGGGGGCCAUCCCGGCUUACCAACCCGAUGCAAACUGCGAAUACCGGAGAAUGUUAUCACGGGAGACACACGGCGGGUGCUAACGUCCGUCGUGAAGAGGGAAACAACCCAGACCGCCAGCUAAGGUCCCAAAGUCAUGGUUAAGUGGGAAACGAUGUGGGAAGGCCCAGACAGCCAGGAUGUUGGCUUAGAAGCAGCCAUCAUUUAAAGAAAGCGUAAUAGCUCACUGGUCGAGUCGGCCUGCGCGGAAGAUGUAACGGGGCUAAACCAUGCACCGAAGCUGCGGCAGCGACACUCAGGUGUUGUUGGGUAGGGGAGCGUUCUGUAAGCCUGCGAAGGUGUGUCGUGAGGCAUGCUGGAGGUAUCAGAAGUGCGAAUGCUGACAUAAGUAACGAUAAAGCGGGUGAAAAGCCCGCUCGCCGGAAGACCAAGGGUUCCUGUCCAACGUUAAUCGGGGCAGGGUGAGUCGACCCCUAAGGCGAGGCCGAAAGGCGUAGUCGAUGGGAAACGGGUUAAUAUUCCCGUACUUGGUGUUACUGCGAAGGGGGGACGGAGAAGGCUAUGUUGGCCGGGCGACGGUUGUCCCGGUUUAAGCGUGUAGGUGUGUGUUCCAGGUAAAUCCGGUU